rnacentral:snoRNA from 1 species
ACCCAAGGUGAUUCUUUGGGGCCAACUAAUGACUUCUCAGGAACAUAGCAAAUUGGAAGAAAACUUGCAUGCCUAAGGUCUUUGGGGAGAAGGGAUGCAUAUUUCUUUUGCCUCACUUUGACUGCCUACAUUU